UACGGCUCAGUAACACGUAGUCAAUCUAACCUAUGGACGUGGAUAACCUCGGGAAACUGAGAAUAAUCCGCGAUAGAUCAUAAUUCCUGGAACGGUUUAUGGUCCAAAUGAUUCGUCGCCAUAGGAUGGGACUGCGGCCUAUCAGCUUGUUGGUGAGGUAAUGGCUCACCAAGGCUAUUACAGGUACGGGCUCUGAGAGGAGAAGCCCGGAGAUGGGUACUGAGACACGGACCCCGGCCCUAUGGGGCGCAGCAGGCGAGAAACCUUUGCAAUGUGCGCAAGCACGACAAGGUUAAUCCGAGUGUUUCCUGCUAAAGGAAUCUUUUGUUAGUUCUAAAACCACUGAUGAAUAAGAGGUGGGCAAGUUCUGGUGUCAGCCGCCGCGGUAAAACCAGCACCUCAAGUGGUCAGGAGGAUUAUUGGGCCUAAAGCAUCCGUAGCCGGUUCUGUAAGUUUUCGGUUAAAUCCACUAGCUUAACUAAUGGGCUGCCGAAAAUACUGCAGAACUAGGGAGUGGGAGAGGUAGACGGUACUCGGUAGGAAGGGGUAAAAUCCUUUGAUCUAUUGAUGACCACCUGUGGCGAAGGCGGUCUACCAGAACACGUUCGACGGUGAGGGAUGAAAGCUGGGGGAGCAAACCGGAUUACAUACCCGGGUAGUCCCAGCUGUAAACGAUGCAGACUCGGUGAUGCACUGGCUUGUGGCCAGUGCAGUGCCGCAGGGAAGCCGUU
rnacentral:rRNA from 1 species